CAGCAGACAGCUCCCCACCCCAGCAUUGGCACCAUGAGGGCUUUUCCCAAGGCUGCCUUUUCCUAGGGGUGCGUCUCCCUGCUUUGCCGGCUCAUUUCUUAACCUGCUCCCAAGGCCUCUCCCUUUUCCUUUCUCUUCCCCCACGGCAUUGUUUCUCCUCCCCUCCCUGGGAGCCCGUUACAGCUUUAGGAGCUGGUGCAGCGGCCGUGCCUCCGCUGUGCGCUCAGGCAGGCAGGGGCCAGCUCAGGCAGAUCAAGCUCCAGAAGAAGGGGGAGUCUGGAAUGAGGCCUCAGAUGUCUGUGCAGCUCUUAAAUGCUGUGAAAGGAACCCUGAUGAAAGGCUGUAGCAGCGGGAUGGAUGGCACCCAAAGAGAGGCGUGUACAACACUUUCGAUGGCUUUUUGCUGUAGAAUCCUUGUUUACAGAGAGUUUAACCCCCAUUGCAAUGGCUGGGAAAGGCAGUCACCAGGGGAAAGCCGGUCUCUGUUAACCUCUUCAGUGCUGUGUUUCCAAAUGAUGGUUGUCACCUGCAUCACAGGAGAGCCUGCAGGCUGAGACCCAGCGCUCCGUACGUCGUAGGAGAGGAUUCCUUCUCGUCUAACAGACAUGACAGAAGCAAAACAAAGUGCAAAAGCUCUCUCACUUGUAUUAAGUAAAAUCCAGCCCAGGUGAUUCCUUAGCAAUGAAUCGAUAAACGUUUCAGCAUGCUAAUGCUGCAGUUGGAGUUGGCUGUAUAUAUAAAAUUAACCAUAAUCUUGGUAAGAGCUUUGCUAGGCUGAAUGAGGAACUGAUGUCUUAAGGCACAAGACAACUCUGAGAAGACUUAGAAAUAAACAGCCUGUGUGGGUAAAAUUUUCUCUUAACUACCACAACCAGAGAAUUUUUGCAUCCUUUUUGUUUGCAGACUGCUUUCUUUUUUUUUUUUUUUUUUUUUUUUUUUUCUGGUCCCGGUGGCUGCUGAAACCAGGUUCCUUGUGGAGAUCGCUCCCUGGUUUGAAGCCAUGUGGUUGUUCCAAUGUUCUCUGUCCUGUAAACAUCUCCUAGAACAUGGCACACCACUUCAUCUGUCUCUCGUUAAGCAGAGAAUGUGAUUAUUAUUAUGCACGGAGUUGUCAAACCAAUCUGGUGUCUCCAGACUUCACCAAGGAUCAGGCAGUUUCACCAAGAUGCUGUCCUCCUCUUGACAGCUUCCAUGGAGAAAUCUAAGAAAUGUUUUAAAAAAUAAAGUCAAAUAUACUGUACACAAGCGAAAGUGCCAAAAUGCAGGCAGAGUGCAUGUCAGGGAAUUAUUUACAGUGGCUGAAGUUUGAAAUCUAUUGAGGCUGAAGUUAAAAUAUCAGCUGGGAUCCCAGCCCAAGUUUGGUCACAAACGGAACGCGUCAAAAAGUGCUCAGGAAAUGAGCAGAGGCCCUGCUAAGCAAAGCCAGCUCUUCUGUGGCUGUUUCUUCCCGCUUGGAGCUCCAGCAGAGAAAGAAAAACUCUGCUAAGAGAAUUAGAGCAGCUGAAGGGAACAAGUGUCAUCUUGGUGCGGUGUCUUCUGGAGAGCCAGGGAACUGCUGGGCUGGUGUGCUUGGGGCAGCGAUGCCUCCGGAAGCUGGGGGCCCUCACAGCAGAGGCGAGGAGGAAAUUUGCAGCAGACCCAAUGUCUUAUCUCACAGCUACUGUGGAUAGCAAUAGGGUCAGAGCGUGUUAAAGCAUCAAGGUUGUUUUGCAGCUGGUGUGAAUUGGUGGUUCUCCACCAGUUUUGGUAGUUCUGUGAUGGGAGAGGCUUGAUGAGGACCUGGCUUGUUGGCAGAGUGCUGCAGAGCACCUCAGGCCUGUUGGGAGGCCGUGAGCACAGACAAUGGAGGAACAGGGCUGAGAAGGGCCUGCCAUCCCAGUGGCCAUGCCUUAGGCACCGUGGAUGGCGAGUGGUGUGGUUUUAUGAAGACCAUAGGACCACAGAACAGUCUGGGUUGGAAGGGACCCUUGAAGCCCAUCCAGUUCCAACCUCUGCCGUGGGCAGGGACAUCUUUCUCUGGAUCAGGAUGCUCAAAGCCCUAUCCAACAUGAGUUUGAACGCUUCCAGUGGGGCAUCCACACCCUCACAGGGCAACCUGUUCUAGCAUCUCACUGCCCUCAAUGUGAAAAACAUCUUCUUUAUAUCCAACCUAAAUCCACAUUAAGAUGGGGAACGUACACCAGCGGAGCAGCUUACAUUGAUGUCGACACUAAACCCGGGCAGGAGGAUUCUGUAACUACAGCUUGUGCGAGACCAUGAAGUGAAGGGAGAAGAGGGUUAGCUCUGCGGAAGCCCAUCCUCUGUUAAAUUCCUCCCCUUGUUGGUCUGGAAUGCUUCCCCUGCCAUCUCUCAGCAAUUUGGUGUCCCUCCUGAGACAGGCAACAGCAGCACCGUGUGUUCGUCUCCUGCCGCUGCCCGGGCCUCUCUGCUGUCGCCCUGCCCACACGCCCACCUUUCCUUGAGAGGAAGGUGGAGAGUGCUGCGGAGCACAGACCUGCCCUUGCUCCUCGGGGUGAAGCAGAUCAGCUCAUCUCACAGACCCGGUAAAUGCCGAUGCCUUUCAACCUGCCGCUGUCCUACCUCAGAGCUGGAUACAGACAGCAAAAUCUCAGCCCUACCACAGCUCCUCUGACCCGUCCAGCAGCUUUUCUUCUGCUGUUCUCACCUGGCGCUUGAGAAUAUGUGGGAGAACCCCCCUGGAGCUUCCUCCCCACCCACGGGCCAGGCACCCCCCGGGCGGCGGUAGGAGGGAGGCCGUGCGGAGCAAUGCUGUGUGAUCUGGCGUGGAGCACGGCAAGCUGAACGAAGCCUUUCUCCUCCCCGGGGAGCACUCACAUGCUCUGAGCUGCAGCAGCAGCAGUGUGAGGAUAACCCCAGCGUGGGCAGGGGGCUGACUCAUCUCUCCAGAAGAGGCAACACUGUUUAUUAAUUACUGCUCCUUUGAAGUGGGAAAAUGGAGAAAACCUCUCAUGGCCAACGUUGUGAUUAACCAUCUAAUUGUUCUGCUGGUAUGUUUGCUUAAGGGGUUUCCUUUGCUCUGUGUACAUUAAGAAAUAGUUUCUCAUCCUACCGUUGUUGCACCCAGAUGAUAGUCAUUAGCAGUGUACCAGACAGGGCCAUUGUAUAUGCCUUGUCCUGAUGCUUUUUUAUUAUUAUUAUUUUUUUAUAUCCCUGGGUCCAUCUCUGCUGAAGUGACUUCAGCGUUGGAGGGAGAAUGACAGCUCUUCAGAGCAAAGGCUUUUGUUCCCAGAACACACAGAGGGGCUCUUCAUGGACAAACCAAAUCUUUGUCCCUGCCAACAGAUUCCCCGGUUGUCUUUUCCAUCGCAGGAGAUGGUGCCACAGGUGUUAGGGGUGCUCCACGUCCUGCCUGGGGACAAGACCCCUCAGGCUGGGCUGCUGGCACGGGCUGUGUGCCCAGAACCACAGCCUGUCCCGCCAGCUCUGAGCUUGCACGUCCCAAAUGCUGCUGCCAGGGAGCACGGGGUUUUGGAGGGAGAUGGCACACCCAGCCCGAGCUGUGGGAUUGUCUCCUCUUUACUGCAUGGUGUAAAUGGGCUUACACGAAGGCUUAAACUCUGCUGCUGCUCUGUGCCUCCUCCUAGACUUCGCCUGUCUUUGCUUGAAUAUCAGAGUGGGUUUAAAUCUUGGGGUUGGCAGGUGAUGCACAGGUGAAUUUCAUCUGCAGGAUGGGGAAGAAGGGAGAGAAGAUUGCUUUGUCUUUGCCUGAAUUAUCUCUGAGUCUGAUUAUGGGAAACCAGGAUUGCACCUCAGCAAGCUAAACACGAAGGAAAAUUGUACAAGUGGAAGACAGCUGGAGCUGGAAAUCUUCUGAUCCUCCAUUCAGGCCAGGUCCCACCGCAUGUUCCAUUUCAGGUACAGUUCCUGCAGAAAUGCGUCUCAGAACCAUAUCAAACCAUUUUUUACUACGUCCAACAAACCAAACAAGAACUUUUGAAAGGACAAGUAGCUUAAAUCCAGGGGAGAGUUACUUGCACUCGCUCAGUCUCGCUGCCAUUGCUGUUCCUUCCCGUGCCACAGCACACGUGGCAAGCCUUGCAAAAGCACGCGUUUCCUUAACGCUGCUCACGUGGAAGCCCAGGCAAGUUUUACUGUUUGUCCCCAGACUCUGGAAAGCCUCAGCUGUCCCCCUGCAUCGUGCACAAUGGCAGAAUGGAACUUCUGCCCUGGGCAGCUGCCUUGUAGCCGAAGCGUGGUGACCGGCUGCUGCGCUGCAAGGCUGCGGGCUGCAGCUAGAGGGGGUGAGCAGGCAGAAGAUGGUUGCAGCAAAAAGUCCACAUCUGAAACUUUUCAUUUUGCCCCCGUCUCUUCUCCUUCCCCUGAUCCCAGGGCCACCUGCCACCUUACAGGUAUAUGUCCGUCCCCAGGAGACUCGUAUGUGCCCGUGUGUUUCUGAUACAUGUACGGUACAGGUGCUGCACCCGUACACAUCUGUGCGUCUGCAGCCGUGCGUGCGCGGCGUGUCUGACCGUUAUCACGAGGUGCUGCUCGCUAUUUGUGGGGACACAGAGUGUGAGGUCUCGACUGAUGUCUGAGGCUGGAGUGCCUGAAGUACACGUCACAGCGAAUGGCCCUCUCUCCCGAGAUCUCGCAGUCCAAGUAUAUGAUUAGGAACAACAGAUGGAUACCGCAAACAGACAGGCGGCGUGGGUGGGGGAGGAGCACAAAAUACCACCGAGAUAAUUAGGAUGAAUGAUUAAUGACUCGAAUGGGGAAGAAGGGGCCAAAAUACACUAGCUGAAUAUUCGCUGGUGAUGCUUUGCAGGAACCUCAGCAGAGGUGGACACAGACUGUAUCCUAUUUUGUACUCGCUUGCUAUCCAGGCUGCAAAAUUCACCCCCAGCCCGUGUCUGGAGACGUUGGCCUCUAGCAUUACACUGUAGCUACACUGUAAGGAUGGUGUAACUACAGUGUAUUCUGGCUGGAAUGCAGCCCCGGCCACGCUGAAACACUAGUCCUUACAGGAAUUUUGAUCUCGUAGGAUCAGAUCCAACACCCACUGGAGUCAGCGAGCUCUUGACCUGUAUGGGAUUUGGGACAGUCCCAGAAUGUUCAAGUGGGCUCCAAACUGGGCUGAACAAUCGGGAUAUGUAUUUAAAAUGAUAAGAAGAAACGCUUUGUAUGAAACACAUUUAAUGUAUUUCUGUUUGCAUGUACACAUUUUUCCUGUGUGAAAUCAGACUGAUUUUUUAUCUGCCGCGUCUAUCUUAACAUGUGGUGUAUGUUACAGUGGACCAAUCAGUUACAUGAUUAAAAUACAUGGUAAACAAA